AUCGAACGCUGGCGGCAUGCCUAACACAUGCAAGUCGAACGAGUGGCGGACGGGUGAGUAACGCCUGGGCAACUGCCUGAUGGAGGGGGAUAACUACUGGAAACGGUAGCUAAUACCGCAUACCAUCAGAUGUGCCUAGAUGGGAUGAGCUUGUUGGUGGGGUAACGGCUCACAAAGGCGACGACCCCUAGCUGGUCCGAGAGGAUGACCAGCCACACUGGGACUGAGACACGGUCCAGACUCCUACGGGAGGCAGCAGUGGGGAAUAUUGCACAAUGGGCGAAAGCCUGAUGCAGCCAUGCCGCGUGAGUGAAGAAGGCCUUCGGGUUGUAAAGUUCUUUCAGCGGGGAGGCGUUACCCGCAGAAGAAGCACCCGCUUACUCCGGGCCAGCAGCCGCGGUAAUAC
rnacentral:rRNA from 1 species